AGUGGGUGCUGCUGAAUGAGCAGCAGAUCCCUUGGGUUAGCAUCACACAGCACAGAUGCUGGCUUGUGACAUGCUACGGAGGCCUGGUGGACUGGGAAGCAGGGGCAUGUCACAUCGCUCACAGGGUCUUGCUGCUUCUCAUCUCCAGUCUGCCCUGUACCAGUUUCCACGAGUCUACAGAGCCGGUCUUCCAUCUCCUGCUAUGGAGCAAAGUAUCAAUAUGAUGGUGCUGAGACCUGCGCCGCCCGCUGCUGGCACUCUGCUGAUUCUGACACCAUGGAUGGGUAUGCGCUACUUUUCUCAUCACAUUUCCCUGAAUUAAAAACAACAACAACAAGAAAAAGAGAGGGCUUUCCUGCAGUCCGGUGAUUAUGACUUCACACUUCCACUGCAUGCCACAUAGCACAGCCGAAAACAAACAAAACAACAACAAAAACAAACCCUUUCCCAGUUUUUUUUGUUUUUUGUUUUUUCAACUGAUUGUUCAUGAUUGUUAAUUGUUAUUUUCAAUCCUUUUUCUUCUGAGCACUCAAUAAAGUCAGACUGGGAAAUGACAACCUUGCCCCUCCAUCUCCAGCAAAGACUAUUUUUGUUUCUAGAUCUUCUAUUCCUUACUUUCAUCUCUUACGAUGAGCACUUUUCCAGGGAAGAGAAGCUGGUUUUGUUCCUCAACAUCAGAUAGCCCUGCCCGCCUUGGCUCUGGCCAAUGAGGAGCUGCCUCUAAACUCCACUUGCCCUGCAGAUGCCUGGAAGUGCUUUUCAGAAGUGCCUGCCUGUCUCCAGCCUCCAGAGGCCUGACCUUCAGUGCUUUUAAAAGAGACUUCUCAGUGCUUUGGGGAAGGACAAAACUUCUGGCCCCCUUUCUAUGCCCUUGGACAUAGUUGGUGGAAUGGUAGAAUCUUUGCCAACAGAAAUGUCCGCAUCCUAAUCCCUAGACCAUGAACAUGCUAACUUACCAAAGGGGACUUCACAGGUGUGAUCAAUUUAAGGAUUUUGAGAUGGGGAGAAGGUUCUGGAUGGUCAGGUGGGUCCAAUGUAAUCACAAGCAUCUUUGUGGAGAGAGACUAGUCAGGGUUGCUGCUGCUGCUAAGUCACUUCAGUUGUGUUCGACUCUGUGUGACCCCAUAGAUGGCAGCCCGCCAGGCUCCCCCGUCCCUGGGAUUCUCCAGGCAACAACACUGGAGUAGGUUGCCAGUUCCUUCUCCAAUGCAUGAAAGGGAAAAGUGAAAGUGAAGUCGCUCAGUCAUGUCCGACUCUUAGUGACCCCAUGGAUUGCAGCCUACCAGGCUCCUCCACCCAUGGGAUUUCCCAGGCAAGAGGACUGGAGUGGGGUGCCAUUGCCUUCUCCGAGUCAGGGUUAGGGAAGGAGUUGUGAUGAUGAGAGCAGAGACGUGGGUGGGUGUGAGGUGGAUUUGAAGACAUAACGCUGCAGGAGACGUGAACCAAGGGAUACGGCGGCCUCUAGAAGAUGGAAAAGGUAAGGACACAUUCUCUCCCUGAGCCUCUGGAAGGAGCAUAGCACAGCCCUGCCAUCAUCUUGAUUUUAGGACCUCUGACUUCCAGAACCAUGGUGUGAUACAUUUGUAUUGUUUUAACCGCUAAAUUUGUGGCAGUUUGGUGCAACAGGAAUGAGUCACUAGAACAGAGGGUGAGUGAGCACAUUUUAUGUCGUAAACCCACUGCGUAUCUGUCUCCUUAAAUCCAUUGACUCCUUCAUCUGCCGUAAGCCAAGGCGUUCUGGUGUCCAAAGUCCUUUCGUUCUGUGUCUGUUUCAGCCAGCCCUCCACGCAAACCAUUUGCAGCUUUUGAACUCACACACUGAAUCUAGAACCUUUAGUAAGCGCCCCUGUUUGAUAAAUGCCACCUAAUCUAAAAUGGUUCUCUUUCCUUCCUGCAUUAUGCUCUUCAAAAUCCACUCCCACCCUCUCUUCCCUGGUUUCUGCUGAUAUUAAUGAGCACAUUUUGCAGUUCCUUAAGUGGAUGAGACUUCUCCCAGGUCAGGCUUGAAAUUCCCUCCCUGAGUCUUCAUAGGGAGCCUGACUGCAGCCUUGUCAGAGGAGAGAAACUGGGACCCUGGAGGCAAUUAGAGAACAGUCAUCCCCCUCUUAGGUCGUCACCCCAAGUGAGCGCAUUCCAUGGAGCAACAGGGCGGGAAGGUCUUCUGCAGGUGAGGCCACUUCAUUAAGGCUGUGCAAGCACGCUCAGUCGUGUCCAACUCUUUGUGGGCACAUGGACUUUGGCCCACCAGGCUCCUGUGUCCGUAGGAUUUCCCAGGCAAGAAUACUGGAGUGGGUUGGCAUUUCCUACUCCAGGGGAUCUUCCUGACCAGGCAUGGAACCCAUGUCUCCUGCACUGGGAAGCGGAUUCUUUACCACUAGUGCCACCUAGGAAGCCCUCGUUAUAGUUGGAAUCUGCCUAAAUAUCCUCCUUCCACUCCUCUCUCUCAGCAUUGUCCUAUUUCCACACACACACAAAAAGAUGCUGUGGGGCUGGAAGUGGACAAUCCCUGAUAUAAUUCAGCGACCCGUGAAGGCAGGCCACGUCUGAUCUUUAGAUGCAUCAGCCUGUGACUAUAAAACUUGAGAUGUUUUCAGAGCAUCCAUACAAGUUCCUUGGCUCUCUUUUCCUUAAAAAUAGAUUUUGAACCCUGAACUUACUACACAUUUAUUUUUUUUUCCACUAAGCUUUCUGGCAGAAUAAAAAAGCCCAAAAAACAAAAACCAGCUUAUAUUCCGUAGGUAGGACAUCCUUGUUGCUUUCAAAUUCAAUCAGAUAAGAUCACAUCUCCACAUUUCCUGACUCUUCUGGGAGUACCAAGUACUAUUGGGGUAAAAGUUCAGGUGCAGAGAAUAGACUCCAAGCUGGCUGGUUUAAGUAAGACCUUUAUCACAGGCUAUUAACACAUUCCAAAAUCAAAGGGAAACUGCAGAAAUAAACUCUGGAUUGUACUUUCUUCUAGGAACAACUUUUAAAUUAUACGGCAGGAUCUGGCAGCCUUGAGAAUUGUUGCUUCUGCCAUGAUCCAGCAUCAGGAGGCCGCCAGCCCAGGGAUAAAAGCGGCCUGCACGCUCUCUGGACCCAGAAUCACGCUAGCUCUGCUAUUACCCAGACAGAAAGGAGGCUCCUUGCUCAUCUCACAUUCAAAUCCCAAGCACAUGUUUCUGCUCAGCAGAUCUACAUCAUAUCCAGAAAACCUGAGGGCAAGGGAGUUCUAGGAGAUGCGAGCUUUAGCAUCCCAAUCUCUGCUCUAGGAAGGCAGGUGAAGAAACCCAUCCACAGUGUUGGCUCACUUCCCUUGAGGGUUCCUAGGUGAAUUACUGUCAAGGAAAAUGGUGCAGUGCUGGUAAUCUGAGCCAAGGGGCCGCACUGGUGAGUUUGAGACAUGUCAAGAAUCUCUUCUUGGCAAAUGAGCUGGAAGUCAGAGCAAACUCUGAGAGGAAGGAGGACCAGUGGUCUUGCAAGUGAGGAAGGAAAUUCAACCUCAGUUCACCUAGGAGUCAGUUCAGAAA
rnacentral:lncRNA from 1 species